GCGGAUGUAGUUUAAGGGCAGAACGUCAAUCGUCCAGAUUGAAUGUGCGGGUUCAAGUCCUGCCAUCCGCU
rnacentral:tRNA from 1 species